GCAAAGUGUAGUGCAGCGCAGCAUCUAGUGGAUGCCUACCACCAGUGGAUGCCCUCUGCCCUGGCACUUUAGAGUAGGCCUGGGUUAAUAAACAGCCAUUUAGCUAACCCUGCUGGGUUUCCCUUCCAAUAUAUUUGAUGUAUACACAUAGCACCAACCCACAACUGAGAUUAGUUCAGCAAGCAGGAGGAUUGAAUUUAUACAGUAUGCUGAAAGAAAUACUGUAAUACAGUUUCCUGUACCUAUUUAGUGAAUCUGUCACACAGAUUCGUCAUUGCUGAAAUGUAGUAUAUCUAGACAUGUUUAUAAUGUAAAUUCUUCAUUAUUGGUGCAAUGGGGCCAGAGUGGGUACUGUGAGAGGCCAGUUACCCUCUUCUGUGUGUCCAGGAAAGCAGAUGAAGGCCAGAAAAUAAUUGAAGCACUCAAUGGGAGAGAGGAAUAGGGUCUGGGGGAGCAGUCAGCGUCUGGGAGAGGGAAGGUAUGGGGCCAUCCCAGGCUGCUGUUCCUUUAAGGACCUGGGACCAGGAGCUUGUAGAAUACACAGGGCAAUGCACUCUCUCUCUCUCUCUCUCUCCCCCAGCCAGCACAGACCAUUGUUUGGCGUUAUUAGCCCCACCUGGAGAAGAUGAACAGAUGGAAUAGGUGACUGGGCAGGGGAAUAAAAAAAAAAAAAUAAAAAAGCCUCCAAGCCCAGUCAGGGGGAAGUGCUUAGAAGGAGAGAUUGGCUGGAAACACAGGCCCAAGAAAGAGGACUGUGAGAGCUUAAAUUUGAGAAGUGAGCUAUGGGCUAGAGAGGCCAGGACUUAGAACCUAAACCUGAGCACGUCUUCACUUCUGCAACUACCUCCUUUCCUAUUUCCCCCUUUGAUAAGAUGACUGGACAAGAUGACAGGUUCUGGGACCUUGCACAGAUCAAUAAUGCAGAGCUAUACAGCUGACUCACCUUGGUAUCCUGACCACUCGUCCAUCAACUCUGGUAUUCUAUCUACACCACCGGCUAUUAUAGCCAGACCAGCUCCAUCUAUCUAAGGCACUACCACAGUACAAAUCAUUCAGAAUAAUAUGGGCCGUGUCUGUAUCCAGAUGGAAAGAUUGUGAUCUCCUAGAUCUGGGCCUGCUCUUGAAAACCUUCAAUCCUGUUUCUUCAGUAGAAGUUAAGGGAGCUUCGUUUGCCACAUGAUCAUGCCCCAAGAAAGGAUGAGAAAAAAGGCUCUCGCCCACUGCACUUAUCUGAACAUCCAGAAGUACUGAAAGUCCAGUGGGAACCCUAAGUAGCAAAACUGAC